CAAAUCCCAACAAUGAAGGUCAUCAUUCUUCUAACCAUUUUGCUGGUGUCUUGUGUUGCUUAUGGUGAACGUUUGUCUGAAGAGGCCAGAGCAUUAAGUGAAGAUACUGCUGUAGAGCAAGAACUAUCUGAAAGUAGUGAAGUAAAAAAACGUGCUGGAAAAGAAUGUAGUUUUAUUGGAACAGUUUGUUAUCCUGGAUAACUUUGAAGUAGACAAAGAGAGAGCUGGCUGAAAAUAAUUCGCUGCUUCUAGAAUGCCAUUUUUUUUUUAAAUCUAAUAAAUUCGAUGCAAAUGAAUACAA
rnacentral:sRNA from 1 species